rnacentral:rRNA from 1 species
AGAUUGAACGCUGGCGGCAUGCUUUACACAUGCAAGUCGAACGGCAGCGCGGGGCAACCUGGCGGCGAGUGGCGAACGGGUGAGUAAUAUAUCGGAACGUACCCAAGAGUGGGGGAUAACGUAGCGAAAGUUACGCUAAUACCGCAUACGAUCUAAGGAUGAGAGCAGGGGACCGCAAGGCCUUGUGCUCCUGGAGCGGCCGAUAUCUGAUUAGCUUAGGUUGGUAGGGUAAAGGCCUACCAAGGCUACGAUCAGUAGCUGGUCUGAGAGGACGACCAGCCACACUGGAACUGAGACACGGUCCAGACUCCCGUACGGGAGGCAGCAGG